UAUAUAUAUAUAUAAUCGGUGACACAGCAUAGUAUUAAACAAUAUUAUGGCUAAGAACUCUCGUUUAACGUGAUCAGUUAUUCUCUUGUAUAUCAUGAAAUGUAGUAGAAAAUAAAAUGAAUAAUUUUAGUAAACUAAAGAAUAUUUUUGAAACUCUUGCUAGAAAAUAAGGCUAGAGAGAUCCACCGAGCGAUGAUCAUCAUCCGAGAGAAGAGCCUGUGUGAAGCUAUAAUGUACCAUGGUUGUGUGUGAUUCUUGUGAAAGAUGGUAUAAUUUUUUGAAGAUGGAUUGAGGCUAAACUGUUGAUGGUACGGGACUUCAAAAGUCUUUGGGGAGAAGUUUAACAUAAAAUUGUUACCAGUGCACGUGACUGUUGUUUGGAAUUGUGGUUUAAUCAAAGACCUCCAUUGUAAAGAAGAGGUGAUGGAAUCCAGUGGAGAUGAAUAUAUAUUUGUAGGAUCCAGGAGAAUAGUCUAAGGGUUGCACCAAAGCACAAUAAACUGACAACUGGAUACAUAUGUAAUGCUAGUAGUGUUGUCUUUGAUGGAAUUCUGGAAAUCACUGAAGUAUCCUCUAUACUUCUUAGUAAAGAGGAUGGACUGAUCUGUGUACACUUAUAAAUAUUGUUUUUAUAAGCAAAUAAAGGUUGAACCAGUUGUUCCUUGUACAUGGAAUUUAAUUAAUUGUUAUAUAGUUGCAGUGCAGGUAGUAAGCCAGUUUAUGCUAAUGUGAAACUGAUGACAUUAGGUACUGUCUGUAUAUUUCGGUCACAUGCUACAUUGAUUUUAUACAGUACUAGAUUUGUAAUAAGUUUGAGUUGUGAGAAUGAUGACAGUGGGCCACAUUUAUGGCUAUGACUUUCACAGGGUUGGGUCUGAGCAAGAAAGAUAGUAGUUCAUAAAUUUGUUUUUGAUUCAUUUCUUUUUUCUUUCUUUUUUCCAUAUAUUAUUUAGAUUCAUAUAUCAUACUUACUUAGUUCUGCAAGAACUCAAAAAAUUUAAAAAUCAAUAUACUACAUGUAAGGAAACUAUUAUUUCCCCAUUAGUCUUGCUUAGAUUUAAUUGAAAUGAUUUGCAUGUCCAAUUAUGGCCCCUAUUCUGAUUUAACUAUGUAUUAUGCAAAUCCACAUGUUUACCUUGAAUCUAAUUUCCCGACCAAGCUUUACAAUUUCUGUGGGUUUGUUGGAUGGAUUACUGUUAUUAUAAAAAACAACUGAGUAGAUAUAGAAAAUCUUUUCUUGUUACAUUUGAAUAAUGUAUAGGAGACAAAACCAGUGUGACGAUGGAGUUCUUCUACAUUUUAAUCCCGUCUCAGUGUCGCCUCCACUUGUGUUCUGAAAGGAUGCACGGCAGUAAAGUUGUCUACAUCCCUGUAUCCCUCAGUUCGGUGAGAGCUUCACCAAUUCCCCUGAAAAAGGCUUUACUGCUCUGGAUCUUCCUCUGUGUGCGGUGGAUUUUUAAGUUUACGCCUUGUCACCUAUAGCUUGCUUAAGUCGGUUCUUAAAAGUGCAGAAUGCCAUACGGGUACAAAGGAAAACUAGGUUACAUUGUCUUCACAUGGGGCAUUCAAGAGGAACAACUUCAUACUCUAUUAUAUGGGGUGAGUUUCAAAAUAGUACUCAGUGAGCAGAGGACAGUGUCCUUUUCUACAUUGUUAGUUUGAUAUGUAUAUCGUGAAAUCUACUCUUCUCAUCUUGAAGUGUAUUUGAUAAUUUUUCAGUGAUUUAACCUAACAGAUUACUCAACAAGUUAUUUACACUAUGAUGUUACAUAAUUAUAUAGUAUUUCUUGAACUCACUGAGCUUGUUUUGAAAUAGUAACCCAUACCCUGCUACUUUGAUAACUUAGAUUAGAAUUCUGAAACACCACCUAAGAUACAAAUUUUUUACAUUGCAUUAAAUCUGAAAGUUUUAGUCAUUAGCUAUGUAUCUUGAAUGUACAGCAGCUGUAUGUGUUUCUGGUAAAAGAUAAAUUGCCAAACAGUAACUUGAAUGAAGGUGAAAAUGUAAAUCUUUAGGUAAUGUGCUAGAAUUCAGUCUAAGAAAUGCAGGUAAACCCUUGAACAAAAUCACAACGGUCACCUAUUUGGUAAUUUUCUUAGAAAUGUAGAUACCAUUGCAGGACAAUAUUCAAGGGAUUUAUUGUGAUAUGCCUAGGAUCCAAAAGAAGAACUUCUAGAAUGGAUUUUGUAAUCAACCAAUUGCUGGACAAUUUGGGUAUGUUUAGAGAAUGAACUCUCCAUCAGCUGGAGAGCUCAUGAACUUGAUCUUGUUAUCCUGUCAUCCACAAUGUGAGGUAGGUUUUGAUGUCACUCUUGAGAGGUAUUCAUUAACUGGUCGAUUGACUGGAGACUUGGAUGCCUUGGGUCAAGUUAUUGGUCCUCCAUCUGACAGAGUAUUGACUUUCUAAUCUUACUCUGCACCUACACCUGUCUUUCAAGAAAUAUAAGCACAAAAUUUGGUUAUUCUAAUACUUUGUGCCAAAAAAAAAGAUAACACUUCAGCUAAUAAGGCUCAUAUUGAUAGCACAACAGAGAAGAAAAUGUACUUUGAUACAUGAAUACACUUUUAUUGAAUACUACAAUCAUAAGUUAAGAAAUUUUGGACUCCUUUUAUAAAGUAGUCUUAUUUCUAAAAUCUUGUUAUAGUGCAGUGUAUUUACUGUGGUGUACCAAAAAAAAAAAAAAGAUGACAAACUUUUGCUUCCCUGAGGCAUCUCUGGCAUAACAAGUGAUGCUGAGCCAUAACAAAUACCUGUGUUGGCUGGUGUCACUCAUUAUGACACUAGUCUCUGCUUCCCUAGUUACAGGAUGGCUAAUCACUUAAAGUUCAGACAGCAGAGAAGAGGCUAUUUGGUCCUGUAGUGACACUCUUGGUCAUCUGACUGCCCUGCCUUAUGCCAACGAUUUUAUAUAUCAUAAUUUAAAUUUGCCUAAAAUGCCAAAGUCUUGAAAAUAGUAUUAGGUAUUUUGUUUUCUUAUAAUGAAUUUGAACAUGUUUUCUUUUAUAGUUUAGAGAUGUAUAAUUUUAUGAAUAUAUUUAUGAAGGAGGGUAAAGUUUAUUUCAGUUUACCAAGUUGUAUCUUCACCAGAAACAUAAAGCUAAAUAAUUUUUAUGUUCAAAGAAAAUGACCAUGCAAAAGACAGGGCACUCAGUACACUUUAAAGUUCUCUGUAAAGAAGACAUUUUUGAUAGGGAGGCAAUUAAUUAUAUGAAAAAGGCAUUGAAAUUAGUUUUGUUCUUAAUAUUUUUAUGGCUUAAUGUUGUAGAUAUUAAUGAGAAUUUUAGUGGUUCAAUAUUGACUACUACAUGUAAAGCACACAAUUUGCUGUAGUUCCAGUAAUAAAUUUUCAGGUUUGUGCUCAAAAUGGUCAUUGGGGAUUAUCUCAGUUUAAGUAUUGUUUUUCUGUAACUUGAAGCUGGUCAAGGCUUUGUUGAUGCUUGAGUGGUGAAGAGAGUUUUUUUGAUCCCUCAUGGCAGCUUCUGGUACUGCACAUAUCAGAUCAUAGUGGAAAGUGUGACAUUAUUUAUUAAGUUGGAAACUGUACCAAAAAUACACAACCUAGAGAGAUAAAGGAAUUAGGUUUAGCAUUUUUGGACACAGGACAACAUUACAGUUUUAUGCUUAAUUUUCCUUGUUUUUUUCUUCUGUUUUGUCUCCAUGGUAAAGUGACUAGCUUUGUGAAGGAUAUUGAUGAACUUCUUAAAAUCUAAAUAACUGAAUGUGAUACAUUUGGUAAUUUUGGGCCAUCAGUAGAACUUUGAUAAUGUUCAUUUUCCAGUUCAUAUUUUAGUGAAACUGAACCUUGUUGAAGUAUUAUCCAAGGUUGAAAAUAGCUGAACCUAUCACAUUUUGCAACUUAAAAAUACCAAAGUUUUAGACUAAGGUUUACUUCCACUUACAGCCCCAACUAGAAGCUGCCCUCCAAUCUAAGACCUCCUCCCCUCCAACCUCACCCCCUCCCCCCAAAAAAUCUGCUACCUCCCCGAGUGCACAUGGUCACUCGUUAUCUCCGGCAUGCUGUGCUUGCUCUUCUCCUAAGUCUCCCAGUCACUCUACUUGUGUUACCAAGAUCCUGAAUUGAAGUUGAACAUCCUGCUAUGUUGAAAAUUCAAUAAUAAAGAUUUGACCUUGUGGUGGAUUAUAUUGGCAACCUUCUUUGCUUGAAAAUUUGUUAAGAAUUUUCUUGUAACGUGAAUAAAGUGUUUCAGUAGAUGAGCCAGGAGCCAAAUUACUGUGUACAUGGAUGUAUCAUUGGGAAUGGAUGAGAAGUGUAACAGGUUCAGCCUACCCAAAUAAAUACAAAUUUUGUUUUGUGUAAUUUUAAAACUAAUCUGUUUAUAUCUUUAUAUAUUUUAAUUUUUUGCAUUCAAAGAAGGAUGGCACCUGAGGAGUCUGUUUCCAUAAAAUUUGUCAUAAUUAUCUCAGUGUGAUCAAGGUGUUUUCAACUCCUCAGUUAUAAUCAGAUCAUACAAAUUCUAGUACAGGGGGUCCUUAUUAUAAGUGGUUAAUAGGGACCAGAAGAAAGCCACCAAUAAUGAAACCAAUUAUAACUAGGAAUUAAUUCCCAUAAGAAUUAAUAGGAUUAGGGUCUGAUCAGGCCCAUCACAUUGUAAGUGACUCAAAGUUUAAUUUAAUUUGGUAUCUUUUAACUGUUAAAUAUGUACUGUACCUUACAAACAUUUGUUAAACAUUUGAUUACUCAUUAUUUUAUUAAAUUAUUUAACUUUACAACUCAUUUAAGGUGCUUAAAAGUCGUUUGGGGUCAGUGUGUUGAUGUGGCAUGAGCUACCUAACCAUGCACUUGCACACUCAUUGAGAGAUGCUCACCACUUCUCUUUCAUGUAACUUCUAAUUUUACAUCCAUCCCAUAGCUACUACGCUCCCUUUUAGCCACUACACCACCUUGCUUCGGUUUGGAACUGAUGACAACAAAAAUAGUCCACCAAUGUCACCAAAAACACAACAAAGUUGAUAAUUUUAGUUCUUGGAGCACUUCAAAUAUUGCCUGUGGACACAGGUGACUGGUAUUGAGCAUGCAUAGUGCACGUGAGAAGGAUGAACUUUAAGAGAACGGGAGGCGGACGGGAAUUUCAAUUGCUCAAACACUUGUGCUCCCAAAGAUUGACUGAUUUCAGACUUAGAAUCCAAUUAACUGAGGGUUUUUUUUGUACAUGUAGGUUCACAAUUAUUUGACCACUUUAGUGCGAAACCACUUAUAAUGAAGACACUUAUAACGAGGACCCCUUGUAUUAAUUUAGGCAUCACACCAGUUAAGCACUUGCCAAAUUCUUGUACUCAGAAAAGAAAGUGGAAAGAUUGAGUGUUGCAUUAGCAAAUGAAUAAAUCCGCAUACUGCCAAAGUAGGAAAAUACCAAAUGAUAUUAAACUAGGAUAUACAAAGCUAUAUGGAAGCCAUUGAGGCGUGUUGGUUUGUUGUUCAGCUGUGUUUAUUUGGUUGUAAACAGAUUUUUCUGUUUGUGAACAAAAUACAAAUGCAACAUCUCGUGUUGUUAUUGUCAAACAUGCAUACACUUGUACUACUUUUUGGAGUCAAAUUGUGUGAGGUCAAGGUCAUUGAUUUUAAAAAGUUACCCAUUUGAUCCCAGCACCAGGGAUCAGUAUCUCAACCAAAGGCUCUAUAGUUCUAGGAUAGUGUUGAUAAUAGCACUGUGGGGGGAAAGUCAAAGGAAAGCACAUCUUUCUUUGAUGCAUUUGAGCAUAAUUUAUCACUGGGACUAAUUGAUGUACUUCUCCAUGUAAAAUUUGUAUAUGUACUUAAAUCGGAUCAUUUACAAAGAAAAAAAACGUGGAAUUUUGGGAUAAGUGGUGGAAAACUUCCGAGUGUAAGGUGUGAAGGCAAAGUAACAUUAGGCAAUAAAUACUUGUUUGAGUAAUGUAUGUUUUAAAGCUCUUACUGACAGGUGUAGGGCUACAGUGGGUAUAAUAUGGGAAGGCUAUAUAUAACCUGUGUAUUUUAUGUCAAUGGAAAGUGGUGCUUAAUGAAUCUAUGUAAAAUUUUCAGUCGGUCACACACAUCCUCCACUUGAACUGUUGAUUAGCCAACAGUGAUACUUGAAGCAUUAACUGAAAAUAAUGCUAUCUGGCAACUGCAAGUCUUGCUUUAGUUUCUCUUGUUUUUUUUAGGUGUAAUUCAAUUUUGUGAAAUGGGAUCACAAAUUAAUUAAUAAAUGCUAUAGUAGUUUUUCAAAAGAUUAUUGCAAAAACAAAAGAUAUAGUUAAGAAUUUAGUAUAUUUCGAAAUAACAUAAUAUAAUACGUACUACUGUAAUUUCUCAAUUUAAUGAACUAUUUCGAUCCGGCCCUUUCUGUUAAAUCAAAAUUUCCGCUAAAUCGAACUUAUAAUUAUUUCUGCUCGAUUUAGCAAACUAGCUUGCUAAAUCGAGCGUGAUUCCAUUAAUUCUGUGUCGAGUGUGCCACUUGGCGCAUGGGAUUUGUUUACAUCUGCUCAGUCUGUGUCCUGCCGCCACCGCAUGUGUUGUUCACUGCUACCACUCGGUCUACAUCUUGGUCGACUAACUACUGUGCUAGACAUCAUGCCAAAAGUCUCUCGGAAGUCUCAGAAAGGAAGUGGUGUGGGGGAGAAAGUUAAAAGAUUGCAGCUAUCAACUGGAAAAAUGUUUGUAAAUUAUAGAAAAUAUUUACAAAUACUGAACCCCCUAGCUUAAGAAUUGGGCCAGUAAGAGAGAUUAAUGAUGUGUGAGUCCCUAUAGAUAUUCAUCCCAAAUAAGAAAUUACAAACUUAUUAGACAAGUACAGGACAACCCUCCUCGUUACUGCCUCCUUGAUCGUAAACGUUGACGGUAUUGAAGCUGUCCUCCAUUUGUGGGAUUUGGGGUCAUUUUUAUUAAAGAUGGAUCCAGUUGGUUGUGUUGAUUACUGUUGUGUUAAAGGUGUAGAAGAAAAAGACCAGAUUGCUGCCUCGGUGAUCAUAGUUAAGGAUACAUGAAGUUCCUUGUGUCGUCCAUCGAGGACGGCGAUAUGAAGAUGCAGGACAUAACAACCGUGAGAGUGUCUUCAGGCAAACGGAACUCUUGCUGCACUACAUUAGAAACCAAACUCUUUCUGCAGUUACAACUUAUGGUCCGGGCUAGUCUCAUGGUCGUUUGUUUACUAGUGUAGAUUAAUGAUCUGGGUUCACAAUUUAAAAAUUAAGAGUAAUGAGUAAUUAGUGUUAAUUGCCUUUGAAAUUAUUUUAGUAGGUUAUGUUCUGACCUCGUAGUUUUAAAUGGCCUUUAUAUACAUUUUUAUAAGUACGUAUAGGGUGUUUACUGAGCUAGAAAAGCCAGGAAAUAUUACAAAUACAGUAUAUGUGAAAUUUUAUUUGAAUUCAGUUCAACUUCAAAAUGUUACGUUGACAGCAAUCUUGCCAUAAAGUAAUGCUGUACUGUCACAUGUGAUGGUCUAAAACAUAUAUUUGAUUAAUUGGAGUAUGUAAGUCUUCAUAAAGUGAAGCUGCAUCAAUUUUAUGCUUUUAUGUAUUUUCUACUUGUGCUCAUCAAGACUGGUCUGGCACAGCACAACACAUGUAUUACAAAAUAAAAGUAAC